rnacentral:rRNA from 1 species
UACGUAGGGUGCAAGCGUUAAUCGGAAUUACUGGGCGUAAAGCGUGCGCAGGCGGUUGUGCAAGACAGAUGUGAAAUCCCCGGGCUUAACCUGGGAAUUGCAUUUGUGACUGCACGGCUAGAGUGUGUCAGAGGGGGGUAGGAUUCCACGUGUAGCAGUGAAAUGCGUAGAUAUGUGGAGGAAUACCGAUGGCGAAGGCAGCCCCCUGGGAUAACACUGACGCUCAUGCACGAAAGCGUGGGGAGCAAACAGG